UAAANGGUUUGGUCCUAGCCUUUUUAUUGGCCCCUAGUAGACUUACACAUGCAAGCAUCUUCGACCCGGUGAGAAUGCCCUCUAAAUCAANNCUUGAUCCAAAGGAGCAGGUAUCAAGUACACUAUAUAUNNNAAAUAUAGUUGCUCACAACACCUUGCUUAACCACACCCCCACGGGACGCAGCAGUGAUUAAAAUUAAGCUNAUGAACGAAAGUUCGACUUAGUCAUACUACCNNACCAGGGUUGGUAAAUUUCGUGCCAGCCACCGCGGUCAUACGGUUAACCCUAGUCAAUAAAANCACGGCGUAAAGCGUGAUUAAAAAUGAACUNNNNUAAUAAGACUAAGCUUAGACUAAGCUGUAAAAAGCCCUCGUCAUAAUAAAAAUAANUCUAACGAAAGAAGUCUUAGAGCUUUUGAAUUCACGAUAGCUAAGGCCCAAACUGGGAUUAGAUACCCCACUAUGCUUAGCCCUAAACAUAGACAAUCAACUAACAAGACUGUCCGCCAGAGAACUACUAGCCACAGCUUAAAACUCAAAGGACUUGGCGGUGCUUUACAUCCCUCUAGAGGAGCCUGUUCUAUAAUCGAUAAACCCCGAUACACCUUACCACCUCUUGCGCAAAUCAGCCUAUAUACCGCCAUCUUCAGCAAACCUUAAUAAAGCCUUACAGUAAGCACAACCAUAUUACANUAAAUACGUUAGGUCAAGGUGUAGCCUAUGAGGUGGAAAGCAAUGGGCUACAUUUUCUAUAUNACUAGAACACUUCCUACNNGAUAGCUUUAAUGAAACCUNNUAAAGCUCAAGGCGGAUUUAGUAGUAAGUUAAGAAUAGAGAGCUUAACUGAAUUGGGCAAUAAAGCACGCACACACCGCCCGUCACCCUCUUCAAGUCCUACAAACGAAANGUAACAAUACAUAAUAACAUUCAAACNAGUAGUAUGAGAAGAGACAAGUCGUAACAAGGUAAGCAUACUGGAAAGUGUGCUUGGAAUAAU
rnacentral:ncRNA from 1 species